rnacentral:rRNA from 1 species
AUUGAACGCUGGCGGAAUGCUUUACACAUGCAAGUCGAACGGCAGCACGGACUUCGGUCUGGUGGCGAGUGGCGAACGGGUGAGUAAUGUAUCGGAACGUGCCUAGUCGUGGGGGAUAACGUAGUGAAAAUUACGCUAAUACCGCAUACGAUCUAUGGAUGAAAGCGGGGGAUCGCAAGACCUCACGCGAUUGGAGCGGCCGAUAUCAGAUUAGGUAGUUGGGGGGGUAAAGGCCCACCAAGCCAACGAUCUGUAGCUGGUCUGAGAGGACGACCAGCCACACUGGAACUGAGACACGGUCCAGACUCCUACGGGAGGCAGCAGUGGGGAAUUUUGGACAAUGGGCGAAAGCCUGAUCCAGCCAUUCCGCGUGCAGGAUGAAGGCCCUCGGGUUGUAAACUGCUUUUGUACAGAACGAAAAGGUUUCUACUAAUACUAGGAGCUCAUGACGGUACUGUAAGAAUAAGCACCGGCUAACUACGUGCCAGCAGCCGCUGUAA